AGAGUUUGAUCCUGGCUCAGAAUCAACGCUGGCGGCGUGCCUAACACAUGCAAGUCGCACGAGAAAGUGGAGCAAUCCAUGAGUACAGUGGCGCACGGGUGAGUAACACGUGACUAACCUACCUCCGAGUGGGGAAUAACCUAGAGAAAUCUGGGCUAAUACCGCAUAACACUUACGAGUCAAAGCAGCAAUGCGCUUGGAGAGGGGGUCGCCGGCAGAUUAGCUAGUUGGCGGGGUAAUGGCCCACCAAGGCGAUGAUCUGUAUCCGGCCUGAGAGGGCGCACGGACACACUGGAACUGAAACACGGUCCAGACUCCUACGGGAGGCAGCAGUGGGGAAUUUUGCGCAAUGGGGGAAACCCUGACGCAGCAACGCCGCGUGGAGGAUGAAGCCCCUUGGGGUGUAAACUCCUUUCGAUCGGGAAGAUAAUGACGGUACC
rnacentral:rRNA from 1 species